CAGGGCUCCAGGCUCAGUCUGUACUUGCUGUGUGGUCCACAGGGCUCCAGGCUCAGUCUGUCCUUGCUGUGUGAUCCACAGGGCUCCAGGAUCAGUCUGUCCUUGCUGUGUGAUCCACAGGUCUCCAGGCUCAGUCUGCACUUGCUGUGUGGUCCACAGGGCUCCAGGCUCAGUUUGUGCUUGCUGUGUGAUGCACAGGGCCGUGGGGACCAUGGGGCCCACUGUUUUGUGUUGGCAUGCAGCAGCCAACAGUGUUCUUAGUGUCCUGUUCACUGCAUAUCUCAGCCUCCUGAGAACUUCAGAAUCCCUUUCCCAACUCGUCACAAAGGCCAUUAAAGUGUGCAUCCGAUUAUUGCCAGAAGUGGG
rnacentral:lncRNA from 1 species